rnacentral:rRNA from 16 species
CUAGCCCAGCCGUACCCAUAACCGCAUCAGGUCUCCAAGGUGAGUAGCCUCUAGUCAAUAGAAGAAUGUAGGUAAGGGAAGUCGGCAAAAUGGUUCCGUAACUUCGGGAUAAGGAAUGGCUCCAAGCGUCGGGCCACGAGGUCCGCCUGUGGAAGGCUGGGUGCGCGGUGCCGGCUAGCGGGCGACCGUUGGAAGGCGCCAUGCGUCCGGCUGGAAGGGGGCGGAAGUCGGCUUUCGGGCUGGCGCUCUUGUGGCAAGGAACGGCGGACUUGGAACUGAUAUUGACCAGGGGAAUCCGACUGUUUAAUUAAAACAAAGCAUAGC